rnacentral:lncRNA from 1 species
ACGGAUAUCGGAGGGACAAGAAGGAAGCCAGUUCAUUGUUGUCUAGUACAGUUGAGCUGCAAAGGUAACGCCCACUCGCACUUUUGGUCUCCAUCAAAAGGAUGUGGCACUCUGCAACAUCGUCUAUGUGAACGUAUCCCAUCCUUCCAUGCCACUUGAAUUUCUCUGUUUCCCCUUUGAAAAGGCCGAGGACAUCAGAAGCAGUAGAGCAAAGUUCAGAGGGCAAGCUGGGUCCGAUCACGAACGAUGGAAGAACAGCUACCAUGUCGAUCCCAUUCUCCUUGCAGAACUCCCAUGCAUUCUUCUCGGCCAAUAUUUUCGACAAUGUGUACC